rnacentral:rRNA from 1 species
UACGGGGGGAGCAAGCGUUGUUCGGAUUUACUGGGCGUAAAGGGCUGGUAGGCGGCCAACUAAGUCGGAUGUGAAAUCCCCAGGCUUAACCUGGGAACUGCAUCCGAUACUGGCGGGCUUGAAUCCGGGAGAGGGAUGUGGAAUUCCAGGUGUAGCGGUGAAAUGCGUAGAUAUCUGGAGGAACACCGGUGGCGGAAGGCGG